CAGCAGCAGCCGCGGGAAUACGGAGGGUGCAAGCGUUAAUCGGAAUUACUGGGCGUAAAGCGCACGCAGGCGGUCUGUCAAGUCGGAUGUGAAAUCCCCGGGCUCAACCCGGGAACUGCAUUCGAAACUGGCAGGCUAGAGUCUUGUAGAGGGGGGUAGAAUUCCAGGUGUAGCGGUGAAAUGCGUAGAGAUCUGGAGGAAUACCGGUGGCGAAGGCGGCCCCCUGGACAAAGACUGACGCUCAGGUGCGAAAGCGUGGGGAGCAAACAGGAUUAGAUACCCCAGUAGUCCCUGUCUCUUAUAA
rnacentral:rRNA from 1 species